UACGUAGGGCGCAAGCGUUGUCCGGAAUUAUUGGGCGUAAAGAGCUCGUAGGCGGCUUGUCACGUCGGAUGUGAAAGCCCGGGGCUUAACCCCGGGUCUGCAUUCGAUACGGGCUAGCUAGAGUGUGGUAGGGGAGAUCGGAAUUCCUGGUGUAGCGGUGAAAUGCGCAGAUAUCAGGAGGAACACCAAUAGCGAAGGCAGCUCGCUGGGACGUUACUGACACUGAGGCGCGAAAGCGUGGGGAGCGAACAGG
rnacentral:rRNA from 1 species